rnacentral:lncRNA from 1 species
GGGAAGCAGGGCAUGGACCGCCCGAGCAAGCACAGAGGGGAGGAUGCCUGGAAGAGGCAGGCACCCCGAGGGAGAGGAAGAGCCCAGGAGAGAGGCUGGCUCCGACCCUCGUGCCAGAGACCUCAGGGAGUGAGGGCUGGCUCCAGGCUGUCUGCGUGUCGCGGCUCCCGCCGAAGCUCUCCUAUGCCCUGCGGCCAGCACCCAUCACAUCCUGGCCUUGGCCUGUCCGGAAACCCCCUGCAAGCCACGUUUUCCCCAUGACGUCUGGCCACGCGUUGACAAACCUGUACGAUCCCGGCUUCCUUCCUGGGACUGAGCGGGGAGCGGGGCUCCAUGGCGGUGCGGGGAGGAAAUUUGGCUGCCCGCAGCCCGCAGCCCCGGCGGUGGGGCCUCCCGGCGCUCGGGUUCGCAUACCCGCUGCAGCUUUCCUGUCUAUAUAAAUACGUUAAUAAAAGAUCAGUUUGCAGACGCA